AAAAAGGGUCGGUUGGCUAAAUAUGCCACAUGCACCAUUUAGCGUGCGUGCCGUAUGGAUAUCAAGACAUAUGGCCGACAUAAUUUUUGGACCACCGUAGAGGGUUUGGCAGCGCUUUGCCAGACCCUACAA
rfam:Selaginella moellendorffii unplaced genomic scaffold SELMOscaffold_39, whole genome shotgun sequence.